AAAAGGAUCGAAUCCACAGGGAAUUGAUACUUACCUAUUUUCCUUAUCAAGACCAAGUAAGUAAACUGAAAGUAAAUAAACUGAAGGUAAAAUAAAAGGGGGGGUUUGAGAUUGAUUGAAUUAAAUUAAUACUGAAAGCAAUAAAGUAAAACAAAUAAUAAAAGUAAAGAAAUUCAAAUAUGAGAAAAGCUCUAGUUGAAGAAUUGGAUCCACUUCAGUUGUUGGAAUUGAUCAUUGACACUUAAGUUCCUUUGUUUGAUUCAAUAAAUUAGUUGUGAAGAUGGAAGACGUUUCUCACCAC
rnacentral:lncRNA from 1 species